UUGUUUUCCCUGUUAUUUAUUUUCUUCACCUCAGGUUUUUGAAAACCAGAAACAGAUGGACUAAUCCAAGCUCCUCAGAGCAGACGGCGUCUCAAGCUCCCUGCGUUGAGGAACGGAGCUCCCCUGCAGAGAGCUGCAGCCGUGGAAUAAUUGACUCUAGCUCUGCCGCAGAAAGAACACCCUGAGAACUUUAAAUCAUUAGCCUUUCCACUGGCCCCAUGGUCAACAACUGAUGGGAAGAUGUGUCCUCGUCUGAUCCUUGGGGUCACAAGCAUCACCCAGCUGCCAGACGCUGGGUAUCAUGGACCUGCUGGGGUGAUUCAGUAUCUACUGCACCUCUAGCUGGUAGAGAGCCUGCUUCCCUGCACUGAGUUCCAGAGCCCAUUCUUUAUCAUCUGAAACUGUUCCUGAGACCUUCCAGGAACAUCCUGCUGAACGGGUGGUACCUGCCUCUCAAGAUGAGAGAAGCUGAACCUCUUCCUUGUGUCAAGAGGAACAGGCAUUGGAUGAUUACUUACUUUGGGGAACAAGCCAUAAACAACACUGGAACAAGCCUGCCUGCAAAGAAGCUGAACUCUCAAC
ensembl:lncRNA